rnacentral:rRNA from 1 species
CCUACGGGCGGCAGCAGUGAGGAAUAUUGGUCAAUGGACGAGAGUCUGAACCAGCCAAGUAGCGUGAAGGAUGACUGCCCUAUGGGUUGUAAACUUCUUUUAUAUGGGAAUAAAAUGUUCCACGUGUGGGAUUUUGUAUGUACCAUAUGAAUAAGGAUCGGCUAACUCCGUGCCCGCAGCCGCGGUAAUACGGAGGAUUCGAGCGUUAUCCGGGUUUCUUGGGUUUAAAGGGUGCGUAGGUGGAUUGUUAAGUCAGUUGUGAAAGUUUGCGGCUGAACCGGGAAAUUGCAGUUGAAACGGGCAGGCUUGAGUACAGUAGGGGUGGGCGGAAUUAGUGGUGUGGCGGUGAAAUGCUUAGAUAUCACGAAGAACUCCGAUGGCGAAGGCAGCGCACGGGACUGCAACGGACGCUGAGGAGCGAAAGCGUGGUAGCAAACAGGAUUAGAUACCCUGGUAGUC